rnacentral:rRNA from 1 species
CCUACGGUGUGCAGCAGUCGCGAAUCAUUCACAAUGGAGGAAACCCUGAUGGUGCGACGCCGCGUGGGGGAAUGAAGGUCUUCGGAUUUUAAACCCCUGUCAUGUGGGAGCAAAUUAAAAAGAUAGUACCACAAGAGGAAGAGACGGCUAACUCUGUGCCAGCAGCCGCGGUAAUACAGAAGUCUCAAGCGGUGUUCGGAAUCACUGGGCGUAAGGCGUGCGUAGGCUGUUUCGUAAGUCGUGUGUGAAAGGCGCGGGCUCAACCCGCGGACGGCACAUGAUACUGCGAGAAUAGAGUAAUGGAGGGGGAACCGGAAUUCUCGGUGUAGCAGUGAAAUGCGUAGAUAUCGAGAGGAACACUCGUGGCGAAGGCGGGUUCCUGGACAUUAACUGACGCUGAGGCACGAAGGCCAGGGGAGCGAAAGGGAUUAGAUACCCUAGUAGUC